rnacentral:rRNA from 1 species
AUUGAACGCUGGCGGCAUGCUUUACACAUGCAAGUCGAACGGUAACAGGCCUUCGGGUGCUGACGAGUGGCGAACGGGUGAGUAAUGCAUCGGAACGUACCCAGAGGUGGGGGAUAACGCAGCGAAAGCUGUGCUAAUACCGCAUGUGAUCUGAGGAUGAAAGCGGGGGACCGAGCAGCAAUGUUUGGCCUCGCGCCUUUGGAGCGGCCGAUGUCGGAUUAGCUAGUUGGUGGGGUAAAGGCCUACCAAGGCGACGAUCCGUAGCUGGUCUGAGAGGACGACCAGCCACACUGGGACUGAGACACGGCCCAGACUCCUACGGGAGGCAGCAGUGGGGAAUUUUGGACAAUGGGCGCAAGCCUGAUCCAGCAACGCCGCGUGCGGGAAGAAGGCCUUCGGGUUGUAAACCGCUUUUGGCAGGAACGAAACGGUGUCCGCUAAUACCGGGCGCUAAUGACGGUACCUGCAGAAUAAGCACCGGCUAACUACGUG